ensembl:lncRNA
AGAAGAUCUACAUUUUUUAUUAUUUAUAUAGCUCCAUAGUUUAUGGUGCUACAUAGGACAAAUCAAAGACAGAUCCCCUGCCCCCUAAGAGCUUACAGUCUAGGUAAGUACAAGAACAAUAGGAGAAGAUACACAGGCAGGAGACAGAGAGGGGUAGUAAAUUAAAAUAAAGACAAUUAGAUUACAGUCACAUGAAAAGCUAAAGUUUUUAUUUUGGUGGAUACAAACUGGGGAGAUGAGUGUUUGAGUAACUUUAUUUUUGAUUAGAACUAGAUUUAAACAAAGGCCAGAAGAAAAGAGCUUUGAAAAUAAAUUUCAUAGUGUCAGAGGUGCUUGUUGGAAGGCAGAGAGGUAAGACUGGAAGAAAACUGGACAUUAGCAUGUUUGAGGUUGGAAAGCAAUGAUAUUUUAAGUAAGAGAAGCCAACCUCAGUGACCCGUUGUUUUCCUAGUCAUCCUUGAAAUUCUGACAGAAACAGUAUCGCUUCUGUACACAUAGUUCUAGCUUAAAUAUUAUAUCCAUAUAUAUCUGGGGCUGUAUUGGAUAAAAUCUUGUUUCCUCUUAAGUAGGAGUUUUGACACUUUUUUCAAAGGAGUAUUUCAGUUAUCAUAUUUUGUGUUUGUUGAUGUAUUUGGAGACUAAGUGAAGUUGUGUCUGAAGUACUUCACAUUUUUCUAAUAUCCUUAAUAUAAAAACAAUAAAACAUUAUUUUAUAGCAUAAUUUUUUACCUCUUAGUAUGAUAUUACCUCUGUUCAUAUUACCUUUCCCCUGAAAAUAUUUUUAUUUUGUAGAAUAUUAGGGCAUUUCUCCUAUUUGUGGCUUUGGAUUUUGGCACAAUAUGUUUUUUUCCCCGAUAAACUAUGUUUUUUCAAUUCUGAAAUAUUAACAGGUUAAUGUAGUAGGACUCAACUGUGUUAUUUUGGGGGUUGUGAACACUCUAUGGAUGAAAUCAGGAAAUAUUAAUGAACAGAGCCUCAAAUAAUAAUAAAAUGAAGGAAAAGGUUAUUUCAAACCUAUACUGAAUUCUUCAACUGAGAAUUGAGACAGAAAUUUCAGAAAGAAAUAUCACAUAUAAAAUCUGCCAGAUACUCCCUGUAUUUGUCUGUACUUCUGUUUACAUAAAAGGAGAAUACCAUUAAAAAGGCCUGCUGAUGUCUAUAAUUGGACAAAUCCGCAUUUACUAUAAAGCACCAGAGAUCUCUUGAUUUCAUCCAACCAUUUGGCUCAUUAUUUAACUACCAGUCCUCCACAAAUGACAUUUAUCAACAUAAAAAGGGGUUUAUCCAUUUUUUUCUAGUUAUCUAUUGCUAUACAACCAUGCUGAGGCAACCUGAAGAUCUAAAUAGUAUCUUUUGUGUCUUAAAAAUGUCUAUUUUCAUUGAAAAAGACACAGGGGAAAAAAAGUCCUGUUCAAUUUUUACCUCCAAUUUUCAUCCACCAGGCAAUGUCAUUUCACUGAGCUAUAACUGCUUUAAAAUUCUUCUCUAGAGUGACAUUUAAAAUCAGUCAGAGAAGCACCCAUCAUCCUGUCCUGAAAUCAGCAGACUUAUUAAGCUUUAUAUGAAACCACAUAAAGCAGUUAUAUAUGGAUUCUUAAUCUUUGUGGCCAGAUCCUGUCUUGAUUUUUGUUGGGAAGUUCCAUAAAUUUUAAUGACAGUACAGGAAUUUAUACAGCAUGAGAACUUUUGAAUUUUGGGAUAAGCCUUUCAGAGGCCUUUCCAAACAAGGAAUUUUUCUUCAGAAUUGAGAAAUAUUUUUGCAGCAGUAACUAGAAAAUGAAGCUUGUAAAGAAACUGAAAGAAAUUGAACUUUUUCAAGUACAAAACUAUCAGUAAUAUUUUCUACUCUUUUGGGGGUCAAGUCUUUAUUAGUCAAUUUUCUGUAAAUGUCUUAAUACAGAAAAAAAGUUCUAAUGCACAAAAAAGUAACAAUAUGAGUUAGUGUAUGAUUGUUGAGAAAAAACCCAUUAUAAUACUGUGAAUCUGUGGAGCCAUGCAUUUCUAGUCUUGACCUUUAAGACAAAUCUCCAGUUACUUUGCAUAUUUCUCUCAAGAAUGGAAGGCUGAAAUUCUGACCAAAAUCUUAAUUAAGCCACACUUCCUGUGAUAGAAGUUUUGUUCCUUGAGGAACUUUAACCCAAUAAAAUAUAUGGGACAUAUUCUGCAUUCACUUUUACUUUGGCUCACAAAAACCUUAAGAGAAUUAGUCUUGAGCAUCAAGGUGAGAAUGAAAUCCUGAUUAUUUCAAC